UACGGAGGGGGCUAGCGUUGUUCGGAAUUACUGGGCGUAAAGCGCACGUAGGCGGCUUUGUAAGUUAGAGGUGAAAGCCCAGAGCUCAACUCUGGAAUUGCCUUUAAGACUGCAUCGCUAGAACGUCGGAGAGGUGAGUGGAAUUCCGAGUGUAGAGGUGAAAUUCGUAGAUAUUCGGAAGAACACCAGUGGCGAAGGCGACUCACUGGACGACUGUUGACGCUGAGGUGCGAAAGCGUGGGGAGCAAACAGG
rnacentral:rRNA from 1 species